UCCCUGGUGGUCCAGUGGCUAAGACUCCACACCCCCAAGGCAGGGGGCCCGGGUUCAAUCCCUGGUCAGGGAA
rfam:TPA: Bos taurus chromosome 25, whole genome shotgun sequence.